GACGAACGCUGGCGGCAUGCUUAACACAUGCAAGUCGAACGAAGUGGCGAACGGGUGAGUAACGCGUAAUCAACCUGCCCUUCAGAGGGGAACAACAGUUGGAAACGACUGCUAAUACCGCAUACUGAAGGAGGGGCUUGCGUCUGAUUAGCUAGUUGGAGGGGUAACUGCCCACCAAGGCGAUGAUCAGUAGCCGGUCUGAGGGGAUGAACGGCCACAUUGGGACUGAGACAAGGCCCAGACUCCUACGGGAGGCAGCAGUGGGGAAUCUGCCGCAAUGGACGAAAGUCUGACGGAGCAACGCCGCGUGAGUGAUGACGGCCUUCGGGUUGUAAAGCUCUGUUAAUCGGGACGCGGUACCGGAAGAGAAAGCCACGGCUAACUACGUGCCAGCAGCCGCGGUAAUAC
rnacentral:rRNA from 1 species